rnacentral:rRNA from 1 species
CCCAGACUCCUACGGGAGGCAGCAGUGGGGAAUAUUGGACAAUGGGGGGAAUCCUGAUCCAGCGACGCCGCGUGAGUGAAGAAGUAUUUCGGUAUGUAAAGCUCUAUCAGCAGGGAAGAAAGAAAUGACGGUACCUGACUAAGAAGCCCCGGCUAACUACGUGCCAGCAGCCGCGGUAAUACGUAGGGGGCAAGCGUUAUCCGGAUUUACUGGGUGUAAAGGGAGCGUAGACGGCGAUGCAAGUCUGAAGUGAAAGGCGGGGGCCCAACCCCCGGACUGCUUUGGAAACUGUAUGGCUGGAGUGCAGGAGAGGUAAGUGGAAUUCCUAGGGUAGCGGUGAAAUGCGUAGAUAUUAGGAGGAACCCCAGUGGCGAAGGCGGCCUGCUGGACCGUGACUGACGUUGAGGCCCGAAGGCGUGGGGAGCAAACAGGAUUAGAUACCCCCCUAA